GACGAACGCUGGCGGUGUGCUUAACACAUGCAAGUCGAACGGUAAGGCCCUUUCGGGGGUACACGAGUGGCGAACGGGUGCGUAACACGUGAGUAACCUGCCCUCAUCUCUGGGAUAACAGUCGGAAACGGUUGCUAAUUCUGGAUAUGAGCUUGCAAGGCAUCUUGUGGGUUGGAAAGAUUUUUUUGGUUGGGGGUGUACUCGCGGCCUAUCAGCUUGUUGGUGAGGUAGUGGGUCACCAAGGCUUCGACGGGUAGACGGCCUGUGAGGGAGACCGGCGACAUUGAGACUUAGAUACGGCACAAACGCCUACGGGAGGAAGCAGUGGGGAAGAUUGAGCAAUGGACGGAGGUCUGGUGCAGCAGCGCUGCGGGUGGGAUGACGGCCUUCGGGUUGUAAAACGCUUUCAAUUGUGACGAAGCUUUUUGUAACGGUAGCAGUAGAAGAAGCACCGGCUAACUACGUG
rnacentral:rRNA from 1 species